UACGUAGGGGGCAAGCGUUGUCCGGAUUUAUUGGGCGUAAAGAGCGUGUAGGCGGCUAGAUAGGUCCGUUGUGAAAACUCGAGGCUCAACCUCGAGACGUCGAUGGAAACCAUCUGGCUAGAGUCCGGAAGAGGAGAGUGGAACUCCGAGUGUAGAGGUGAAAUUCGUAGAUAUUCGGAAGAACACCAGUGGCGAAGGCGGCUCACUGGCCCGGUACUGACGCUGAGGUGCGAAAGCGUGGGGAGCAAACAGG
rnacentral:rRNA from 1 species